GCAACCCCAAGGCCCCAACCUAAAGUCUCAGCACACUCUCUCCCAAGAAUCACAGAUUCACUCACUCUCACCUCUCUACCUCACUCACCGCAGUUCCGAACGUUCACCGCCGACCACAACGGCAGCCAACGGAGGACGUCACUCGUCCCUCCCCUCGCCGGCUCCUCUGCGUCGUCUCGGCGCCGCCAGUGUCUGCUCGCCUCUGCCUUCUCCGUCUGUGUUGUCCCGGCCACCUUGGCUCCGCCGUUCCUCGCCUGCCUCCGCCUCGUGCCUCUUCUGCCUCUGCUUCCUCCGUCGUCAUCGUGUUGGCUCCUCUGCUGGCUCUGCUCUGCUCCUCUUCGAAGCUCUGCUCUCUCUCGCCGGUGGCCUGCUCUGCAACGGGCCAACACUGCAGCGGCCUCAAGUUGGAAAACCGUCCCUGAUUCUGUUUCUGACUUUCUGCUUCUGCACUGUAGUGUAGUGUCAUCCAUACUCCAGAAACUUGAAGAUGAGAUCGAAUGAGAGCCCUUUGACGGAGAUAUACAUACCAGGAGAAUGGUCGGACGCGGUGGAGUUUAUCGUGUCAAAGUGGAGCCCUCCUCCUAUUGUUUUGAUUUGUGGCGCCAAGAAUUGUGGGAAGACAACGUUUUCCCGCCAUCUCAUGAAUGUGAUGUUGCAGAAUGGCAUGUGUUCCUACGCCAAGGUUGCUUACCUCGACACCGAUGUCGGCCAGCCUGAGUUCACUCCUCCUGGUUUUCUCUCUCUCACCAUUGUUGACAAAGUCACUUCAGAUUUGACAACUCCAUGCCUGAAAACACCGGAGAGGUGCCUUUAUUUUGGUGAUGUUUCUUCUAAAAGAGAUCCAUCAACAUACUUAAAUUAUGUAUUUUCCAUAUUUGAUUACUACCGGAGGGAGUAUUACAUGUUUGAUGAAGAAGAAAAUUCUCCUGGGACUCUGGUGCCUCUUAUCGUGAACACUCCUGGCUGGGUGAAAGGCAUUGGUUAUGACAUAUUGGUGGAUAUGUUGAAACAUAUUUGCCCCACACAAGUUGUUAAGAUAGGCAUAUCCUCCACAAAUAAGAAUUUACCUGCUGGAGAAUUCUGGUUAGAUAGGGAACAUGAUGGAACAAUUGACUUAAUCGAGAUAAAGUCAGCUCGGCAAGACUCAUUCAAUAGAUCGGUGCUUGUUCAAAAGGAUGCACAUCUCUUGCGUGAUUUACGAAUAAUGGCUUAUUUUAGACAGUGCUUCCCUGGUGAUUCAGAUAUUUCUACUAUCAAAGAACUUGCAAAUUCCUUGGCCUCUCACUGCCCUUAUGAAGUUCCCAUUGCAAGCAUAAAGAUUCGACAUCUUCAUUGUGAGGUCCGAAGCUCUGAAAUAUUCUACAGUUUGAAUGCUAGUAUUGUUGGCUUAGCAGUUGAUUCUGAAGAACCUGAAAGUUUACCUUGGUGUCUUGGUCUUGGGAUUGUGAGGGGAAUUGACACAGUCAGAGGUGUGCUCUAUGUGAUUACACCUGUGCCGCAUAGUUCUCUAGAAAGGGUCAACCUCCUCCUACAGGGCUAUAUACAAAUUCCUACCUCUUUAUUGCAAGAAAAGAAGUAAUUAGUUGUUAAAAUGUGAUGUGCUAAAUAUUAGAAAAGGAACUACGCCAGAAUGGUUUCCUAUUUCUUGUCAUGAGGUUGUGGCCUUGUGGGUGGGACUGGAAAUGAUUGGUGAUGUCCAUCUCUUAAUGAUUAUAGAGUAUUUUUAAUAUCACGUUAUUUUUCAGGUGUUAAAAGGGAUUUGAAUACUUUCAUGUUCAAAAUGAAUAUGACAACCUUGCUUACUCCCUCUAGUCCCAAAUUGUCCAUUUAUAAAGUUUGAUUUUGGUACAAAAUAAGUGACCAUUUUGGAAAACUAGACAGCAAUAGUUCAUUUUUCUAAAUGAAAGCAAGAGAAUUAAGUAGCAAAAGAGAGCAAGUAUAAGAAAAACAAAUUUAACAAGGAUAAUUUUGUCACGAUUAGUUUACUUCUAUCUAAAAUCAAGAUUUUUUUCAUUUCUUUAAUUCACAUGCGUAAUUAUAACUUGACAAUUAUUUGGGACCAAAGAGUAUCAUUUUAACACUUUCUUCUAAAUAACAAAAAUUAGUGGACAUGUGAAUAUUAUUAACAGGUGAUAUUCAUUUUGAACAUGAUAAAAUCCAAAUUCCAAAACUUACAUGUUAUUUCUGACCAUUGUUUUCUAUUCAUUCAGACACAACUAGGAUACAGUCAUCACUUAUCACUAAUCACCUAUGGUUCUUUGUGAUUAGAAGCACAGGUUUUACUUAAGUUAGUGCUCUUAUUUUGGGUUUCGCUUAGCGUUACCACGUGCAGAAAUUUUAAUAAAAAAGGGGUGUAUGGAUGCAUAUCACCUUACAUGACAGCGAAUGCUUUGACCACAAGCUAGUUAAUAGUUAUCGUCUUGAGUUGGUAAAGACGACCAUUGCAGUAACAUAGCAGUACUAGACGUCUUGAUUACUGUAGAUGCUUCCUUUUCCAUGGAACAAUCUCCCAGGAUAAUAAUUAUGUGUGUUCGAUUGAGAGUUUGUUUCCUAGGUAGAAAAUUAUAACAACUUUGGGAAUUGGGAUGCUAAUUCGUUUCUUUGAAAUAUAGUAAUAGAAAAUUGGAUUGCCUUA